rnacentral:rRNA from 1 species
AACUUUUGGCAACGGAUCUCUUGGCUCUCGCAACGAUGAAGAACGCAGCGAAAUGCGAUAAGUAGUGUGAAUUGCAGAAUUCAGUGAAUCAUCGAAUCUUUGAACGCAUAUUGCGCUUCCUGGUAUUCCGGGGAGCAUGCUCGUUUCAGAAUC